UAAAGCUGCACUGUGACUUUGGUAUAUGAUGGCCCCUGUAAAAUUGAUUGCCGCAGCUAACACGAAAACAGGCAUCCAACGACCAUGCGAUGCAGUCACUAAUUCAGCUGUUAAUGGACCACAUAAAAUACCCGAUAAAGACAUACAAUAGUAUUGGAAACUGCAAAUGUGAUUCCCGCAUGAUUUGGAGCUAUAUCUGCGUGAUUACUAAGAUGACCAGCAGAAUUACAUGCACAAAGUCCCAUAGAUAUUGAUACAAAGCUAUUGAUAAAUAUGAUUUUAAGUUAUGUUAUAAAAUUAAAAUAAAAAAUUAUUUUAUAACUAAUGACUAAUUUAAUUAUAAGACUGGCCACCUUUUUUGUAUGAGAUUAUCAGCACUAUGUCCAGCAACUGUAAUGAAAUAAUUGAAAUAUUUAAUUUUUCAUAAUUUUUUUAUAAAAUAAAAAUAUUGUAUAAUACAUACCAAUACCAACAAGAGAGUUCACAAUAUAUGGAAGUGCUGUUAAACUAAUACUUUCUUUAUUAGCAGAAAGAUUUCUAGCCAAGUACAAAUAAUGGGAUUUCAUCUUGAGAAUUAGUUUCAUGAUAUAAUAAUAACCAUAAAAGUGUCCAUAUAAUACCAAUUAUACCAAAUAAAUAAAAUCCUGUUUGCCAUGACAAAUGAGGACACAACUAUGCAACAACUUGUCCAACAGAGCCAGCUGCUACAAGAUAUCCAAAUGCUCUAGAUCGUUCCUCUACAGGUACAUUAUGUGCAAAUAAGUGAAAAAUAACUGGUAAACCUAAUAACAAUUUAGAGAAAAAUAUAU